GCCAGGUGUGGUGGCUCACACCUGUGAUCCCAGCACACUGGGAGGCCAAGAAGGGAGGAUCACUUGAGUCCAGGAGUUCAAGAUCAGCCUGGGCAACAUAGUGAGAUCCCAUCUUUA
ensembl:misc_RNA Metazoa_SRP Metazoan signal recognition particle RNA